CAGAAAUUUAUUUCCACAACUAUUUCUACUACAUAUAAAUUGGUAUGUGGUAGAUAAGAAAAUUAUUAGGUAAGGAAAAGCAAUCAAUUUUUAAUUAUUCUGGGAGACAAAAAACAAAAAACUUUAGAACAAUAGUCAUCAGCAAAUGAUUUCUUUUCUUUUUUUUUUUUUUUUUUUUUUUUGAGACAGAGUGGGCUCACUGCAACCUCCGG
rnacentral:lncRNA from 1 species